UACGGAGGGAGCUAGCGUUGUUCGGAAUUACUGGGCGUAAAGCGCGCGUAGGCGGCUUUGUAAGUUAGAGGUGAAAGCCCGGAGCUCAACUCCGGAACUGCCUUUAAAACUGCAUCGCUUGAAUCCAGGAGAGGUGAGUGGAAUUCCGAGUGUAGAGGUGAAAUUCGUAGAUAUUCGGAAGAACACCAGUGGCGAAGGCGGCUCACUGGACUGGUAUUGACGCUGAGGUGACGAAAGCGUGGGGAGCAAACAGG
rnacentral:rRNA from 1 species